rfam:Felis catus isolate Cinnamon breed Abyssinian chromosome B2, whole genome shotgun sequence.
GCCUGGCUGGCUCAGUCGGUGAAGCAUGAGACUCUUGAUCUCGGGGUUGUGAGUUCAAGCCCCAUGUUGGGUG